rnacentral:rRNA from 1 species
ACUAAGCGUACACGGUGGAUGCCCUGGCAGUCAGAGGCGAUGAAGGACGUGCUAAUCUGCGAUAAGCGUCGGUAAGGUGAUAUGAACCGUUAUAACCGGCGAUUUCCGAAUGGGGAAACCCAGUGUGUUUCGACACACUAUCAUUAACUGAAUCCAUAGGUUAAUGAGGCGAACCGGGGGAACUGAAACAUCUAAGUACCCCGAGGAAAAGAAAUCAACCGAGAUUCCCCCAGUAGCGGCGAGCGAACGGGGAGCAGCCCAGAGCCUGAAUCAGUGUGUGUGUUAGUGGAAGCGUCUGGAAAGGCGCGCGAUACAGGGUGACAGCCCCGUACACAAAAAUGCACAUGCUGUGAGCUCGAUGAGUAGGGCGGGACACGUGGUAUCCUGUCUGAAUAUGGGGGGACCAUCCUCCAAGGCUAAAUACUCCUGACUGACCGAUAGUGAACCAGUACCGUGAGGGAAAGGCGAAAAGAACCCCGGCGAGGGGAGUGAAAAAGAACCUGAAACCGUGUACGUACAAGCAGUGGGAGCACGCUUAGGCGUGUGACUGCGUACCUUUUGUAUAAUGGGUCAGCGACUUAUAUUCUGUAGCAAGGUUAACCGAAUAGGGGAGCCGAAGGGAAACCGAGUCUUAACUGGGCGUUAAGUUGCAGGGUAUAGACCCGAAACCCGGUGAUCUAGCCAUGGGCAGGUUGAAGGUUGGGUAACACUAACUGGAGGACCGAACCGACUAAUGUUGAAAAAUUAGCGGAUGACUUGUGGCUGGGGGUGAAAGGCCAAUCAAACCGGGAGAUAGCUGGUUCUCCCCGAAAGCUAUUUAGGUAGCGCCUCGUGAAUUCAUCUCCGGGGGUAGAGCACUGUUUCGGCAAGGGGGUCAUCCCGACUUACCAACCCGAUGCAAACUGCGAAUACCGGAGAAUGUUAUCACGGGAGACACACGGCGGGUGCUAACGUCCGUCGUGAAGAGGGAAACAACCCAGACCGCCAGCUAAGGUCCCAAAGUCAUGGUUAAGUGGGAAACGAUGUGGGAAGGCCCAGACAGCCAGGAUGUUGGCUUAGAAGCAGCCAUCAUUUAAAGAAAGCGUAAUAGCUCACUGGUCGAGUCGGCCUGCGCGGAAGAUGUAACGGGGCUAAACCAUGCACCGAAGCUGCGGCAGCGACACUAUGUGUUGUUGGGUAGGGGAGCGUUCUGUAAGCCUGUGAAGGUGUGCUGUGAGGCAUGCUGGAGGUAUCAGAAGUGCGAAUGCUGACAUAAGUAACGAUAAAGCGGGUGAAAAGCCCGCUCGCCGGAAGACCAAGGGUUCCUGUCCAACGUUAAUCGGGGCAGGGUGAGUCGACCCCUAAGGCGAGGCCGAAAGGCGUAGUCGAUGGGAAACAGGUUAAUAUUCCUGUACUUGGUGUUACUGCGAAGGGGGGACGGAGAAGGCUAUGUUGGCCGGGCGACGGUUGUCCCGGUUUAAGCGUGUAGGCUGGUUUUCCAGGCAAAUCCGGAAAAUCAAGGCUGAGGCGUGAUGACGAGGCACUACGGUGCUGAAGCAACAAAUGCCCUGCUUCCAGGAAAAGCCUCUAAGCAUCAGGUAACAUCAAAUCGUACCCCAAACCGACACAGGUGGUCAGGUAGAGAAUACCAAGGCGCUUGAGAGAACUCGGGUGAAGGAACUAGGCAAAAUGGUGCCGUAACUUCGGGAGAAGGCACGCUGAUAUGUAGGUGAAGUCCCUUGCGGAUGGAGCUGAAAUCAGUCGAAGAUACCAGCUGGCUGCAACUGUUUAUUAAAAACACAGCACUGUGCAAACACGAAAGUGGACGUAUACGGUGUGACGCCUGCCCGGUGCCGGAAGGUUAAUUGAUGGGGUCAGCGCAAGCGAAGCUCUUGAUCGAAGCCCCGGUAAACGGCGGCCGUAACUAUAACGGUCCUAAGGUAGCGAAAUUCCUUGUCGGGUAAGUUCCGACCUGCACGAAUGGCGUAAUGAUGGCCAGGCUGUCUCCACCCGAGACUCAGUGAAAUUGAACUCGCUGUGAAGAUGCAGUGUACCCGCGGCAAGACGGAAAGACCCCGUGAACCUUUACUAUAGCUUGACACUGAACAUUGAGCCUUGAUGUGUAGGAUAGGUGGGAGGCUUUGAAGUGUGGACGCCAGUCUGCAUGGAGCCGACCUUGAAAUACCACCCUUUAAUGUUUGAUGUUCUAACGUGGACCCGUGAUCCGGGUUGCGGACAGUGUCUGGUGGGUAGUUUGACUGGGGCGGUCUCCUCCUAAAGAGUAACGGAGGAGCACGAAGGUUGGCUAAUCCUGGUCGGACAUCAGGAGGUUAGUGCAAUGGCAUAAGCCAGCUUGACUGCGAGCGUGACGGCGCGAGCAGGUGCGAAAGCAGGUCAUAGUGAUCCGGUGGUUCUGAAUGGAAGGGCCAUCGCUCAACGGAUAAAAGGUACUCCGGGGAUAACAGGCUGAUACCGCCCAAGAGUUCAUAUCGACGGCGGUGUUUGGCACCUCGAUGUCGGCUCAUCACAUCCUGGGGCUGAAGUAGGUCCCAAGGGUAUGGCUGUUCGCCAUUUAAAGUGGUACGCGAGCUGGGUUUAGAACGUCGUGAGACAGUUCGGUCCCUAUCUGCCGUGGGCGCUGGAGAACUGAGGGGGGCUGCUCCUAGUACGAGAGGACCGGAGUGGACGCAUCACUGGUGUUCGGGUUGUCAUGCCAAUGGCACUGCCCGGUAGCUAAAUGCGGAAGAGAUAAGUGCUGAAAGCAUCUAAGCACGAAACUUGCCCCGAGAUGAGUUCUCCCUGACCCUUUAAGGGUCCUGAAGGAACGUUGAAGACGACGACGUUGAUAGGCCGGGUGUGUAAGCGCAGCGAUGCGUUGAGCUAACCGGUACUAAUGAACCGUGAGGCUUAACC